rnacentral:rRNA from 1 species
UCUGACCCAGCGACGCCGCGUGCGGGAUGAAGGUCUUCGGGUUGUAAACCUCUUUCAGUAGGGAAGAAGCGAAAGUGACGGUACCUACAGAAGAAGCACCGGCUAACUAUGUGCCAGCAGCCGCGGUAAUACAUAGGGUGCAAGAGUUGUCCGGAAUUAUUGGGCGUAAAGAGCUCGUAGGUGGUUCGUUACGUCGGGUGUGAAAMUCUGGGGCUUAACCCCUGACCUGCAUUCGAUACGGGCGAGCUUGAGUAUGGUAGGGGAGUCUGGAAUUCCUGGUGUAGCGGUGGAAUGCGCAGAUAUCAGGAGGAACACCAAUGGCGAAGGCAGGACUCUGGGCCAUUACUGACACUGAGGAGCGAAAGGGGGGGGAGCGAACAGGAUUAGAUACCCUGGUAGUCCACGCCGUAAACGGUGGGCACUAGUUGUGGGGACCUUCCACGGUCUCUGCGACGCAGCUAACGCAUUAAGCGCCCCGACUUGGGAGUACGAUCGCAAGAUUA